CGAGGUACUGCAGUCGACCAGCACAGGUUCCCGGAUGACAAGAUAGUAAGAGGGGUUACUCGGCGACCGCUAUGAGAGAGUCGACCAUGAGGUUACCCGUGGAAACAUUCACCUUGGCCGUCUGGAUCAUUGCAGGAAGUCUAUUCUCUGUCAAUGCGUGUUCAGUUGAAGACAUACCUAACAUCAGAAGAAAUUGUUUGACGGAACUUUUAAGUUUCUUUGACGCCAUGCCGCAAUCAAAUCUAGAGCUCCUGUGUUAUACGUUUGAGGGGUAUUUAGGGUGUGUGUUUGACACGAAGCCGUCUUGUGUAGAAAUGAUACAUGAUUCAGUGAUCCUGCGGAAACAUGAACUACGAGCCUGCAGCAGCCAGUAUAUCUCUCGCGUUCCGCCCGUCACUCACUGGUGGAGAAGACGACGGCACUGAGCUUUAUUUUAUUGUCAUAUCAUCGCUUUAAACCCUUCUCCAUGUCGCCUAUGAAUAUUGAUCGCUUUUCCACAGUGUGCUUGCCUGGCGGUGAUGAUGCGUGGAUAGUACUUAGCGCCCACUGUCUGCCACCAGGGACGUGUGGAUGGUAGGCCUCCGGGAUAUACCGACAGCAACCGGCACGAUUGGUUAGGAACCACCCGAGGCUGAAGAAAUUGAGGAGCCGACCGAAGGUCAAUUGGAAACUGUUAGCCGACAAUUAGAAUCGAGGCGAUCAGCAUGAAAUAAUUAUCGAGGAUUGACCUUAAUGACACAUGUUUGUGCCUGUUCAAAAGGAGAAGAAUUUAAUGAGCAUAGCAUAUUUCCAAGCACUGUGUGGUGGUCUAGAAGGGACAACGCUCAUGGAAUGAAGUGCAUGGAAUCUUAUUUUCUGUGGGUUUAUCAUGAAUGAUAUUUUGUGGACGAAAAGGUGUUUUGCUCUUCAUUUCAUUCUUGUUCAGACCCGCUAGACGCUUUUCUGUUUUGGUUAUUAGCACAAUUUUAUAGUCACGAAAGGAACACAACCGUACAUAACUUGUUUUAUAAAUGUAAACAGUAAAAAAUAUAGAUCUGCUUGAUCCAAUGUUCGUGUGUGCGGAAUUGGAAGACUGACUACUCUGGACAACAGACAUCACUGGACAACUGAACAAAGCAUCCUGAACGUACGACCACCUUUAACCAAGAUGCUACUAGCACACGGAUAACAUGACGUAUAAUGCUUCCUGAGGCAAAAUCUUUGCACACCGAAAAAAAGAACUUAGAGAUGUUAUUUCUGACUCUUAGUUGAUGGAGAAUCAAACACAUUUGCAAAUGACCUAUAAAUUUUCACUGUUUCUUUCAUUAAUCGUGUUAUGUAAUUUCAGAUCUGUCCAGUAGCAUCGAAUCUUUG